rfam:Rattus norvegicus chromosome 18, whole genome shotgun sequence.
GGGGAUUUAGCUCAGUGGUAGAGCGCUUGCCAAGCGCAAGGCCCUGGGUUCGAUCCCCAGCUCCG